CACGUAGGGCGCAAGCGUUGUCCGGAAUUAUUGGGCGUAAAGAGCUCGUAGGCGGCUUGUUGCGUCAGCUGUGAAAACCCGCAGCUCAACUGUGGGCUUGCAGCUGAUACGGGCAGGCUUGAGUUCGGUAGGGGAGACUGGAAUUCCUGGUGUAGCGGUGAAAUGACGCAGAUAUCAGGAGGAACACCGAUGGCGAAGGCAGGUCUCUGGGCCACUACUGACGCUGAGAAGCGAAAGCAUGGGGAGCGAACAGG
rnacentral:rRNA from 1 species